rnacentral:tRNA from 1 species
GCGGGGGUAGCCCAACUGGUAGAGGCGCCAGACUUAGGAUCUGUAGGUUGAGGGUUCGACUCCCUUCUCCCGCA